CCUACGGGGGGCAGCAGUGAGGAAUAUUGGUCAAUGGGCGGGAGCCUGAACCAGCCAAGUCGCGUGAGGGACGACGGUCCUAUGGAUUGUAAACCUCUUUUGUCGGGGAACAAAGGCGCCCACGGGUGGGCGGAUGAGUGUACCCGAAGAAAAAGCAUCGGCUAACUCCGUGCCAGCAGCCGCGGUAAUACGGAGGAUGCGAGCGUUAUCCGGAUUCAUUGGGUUUAAAGGGUGCGCAGGCGGGCCUUUAAGCCGGCGGGGA
rnacentral:rRNA from 1 species